rnacentral:rRNA from 1 species
CCUACGGGUGGCAGCAGUGGGGAAUAUUGCACAAUGGGCGAAACCCUGAUGCAGCGACGCCGCGUGAGUGAAGAAGUAAUUCGUUAUGUAAAGCUCUAUCAGCAGGGAAGAAAAUGACGGUACCUGAGUAAGAAGCCCCGGCUAACUACGUGCCAGCAGCCGCGGUAAGACGUAGGGGGCAAGCGUUAUCCGGAUUUACUGGGUGUAAAGGGAGCGUAGACGGCAGUGCAAGUCUGGAGUGAAAGGCGGGGGCUCAACCCCCGGACUGCUCUGGAAACUGUACGGCUGGAGUGCAGGAGAGGUAAGUGGAAUUCCUAGUGUAGCGGUGAAAUGCGUAGAUAGUAGGAGGAACACCAGUGGCGAAGGCAGCUUACUGGACUGUAACUGACGUUGAGGCUCGAAAGCGUGGGGAGCAAACAGGAUUAGAUACCCCUGUAGUC